rnacentral:rRNA from 1 species
AUUGAACGCUGGCGGCAUGCCUUACACAUGCAAGUCGAACGGCAGCACGGGUGCUUGCACCUGGUGGCGAGUGGCGAACGGGUGAGUAAUACAUCGGAACGUACCUUAUCGUGGGGGAUAACGCAGCGAAAGUUGCGCUAAUACCUCAUACGCCCUGAGGGGGAAAGCGGGGGACCGUAAGGCCUCGCGCGAUUAGAGCGGCCGAUGUCUGAUUAGCUUGUUGGUGAGGUAAAAGCUCACCAAGGCGAUGAUCAGUAUCUGGUCUGAGAGGACGAUCAGCCACACUGGGACUGAGACACGGCCCAGACUCCUACGGGAGGCAGCAGUGGGGAAUUUUGGACAAUGGGGGCAACCCUGCUCCAGCAAUGCCGCGUGAGUGAAGAAGGCCUUCGGGUUGUAAAGCUCUUUUGUCAGGGAAGAAACAGCAGCUCUAACACAGUCUGCGAAUGACGGUACCUGAAGAAUAAGCACCGGCUAACUACGUGCCAGCCGCCGCAGUAA